rnacentral:rRNA from 1 species
GUUGAACGCUGGCGGCAUGCCUUACACAUGCAAGUCGAACGGUAACGCGGGGCAACCUGGCGACGAGUGGCGAACGGGUGAGUAAUGUAUCGGAACGUGCCCAGUAGUGGGGGAUAGCCCGGCGAAAGCCGGAUUAAUACCGCAUGAGACCUAUGGGUGAAAGCGGGGGAUCGCAAGACCUCGCGCCAUUGGAGCGGCCGAUAUCAGAUUAGGUAGUUGGUGGGGUAAAGGCCUACCAAGCCGACGAGCUGUAGCUGGUCUGAGAGGACGACCAGCCACACGGGGACUGAGACACGGCCCAGACUCCUACGGGAGGCAGCAGUGGGGAAUUUUGGACAAUGGGCGCAAGCCUGAUCCAGCCAUGCCGCGUGCGGGAAGAAGGCCUUCGGGUUGUAAACCGCUUUUGUCAGGGAAGAAAUCUUCUGGGUUAAUACCUCGGGAGGAUGACGGUACCUGAAGAAUAAGCACCGGCUAACUACGUGCCAGCAGCCGCCGUAACAC